rnacentral:rRNA from 1 species
GGCGACCGAGAUAAACCUGGUAUGAUCCUUCUUGCGACGAGCUGCUUUCUGGCCAGUCCGACGCCCAGGCGCUUCCACUGUGCCGGAAGUGUCAACCCCAGGCGGUCUGUUCCCUGCUGCAAUUACGCAAGGUCUCUCAGCCGGGCGUUGGACUGAGUGGUGUUCAAUCCAGCACCAUCGGUCACGUCUCGAAACACGGGCCAAGGAGUAUAGCAUGUGUGCAAGUCUAAGGGUCUCUCAAAACCCGCAGGCGAAGUGAAAGCAAGACUGAGGUGGGGGAGCUACGGCAAACCCGCCGGCCUUGUGUCUGGCGCGCGCGCGCUUACGCGCGCGCGUGUUUUUGACUGGCUUACAACAGAGCUGAUCCUGCUUACAUGGUUAAAUCUUUGUGCAGGCGCAAGCUCCGGGCUCACGUACAAACACCGGUCGUGCCUCGUGCGUGGCUGUGUUGUGAGCACCGUGGAGCAUGCAUGCUAU